CCUCUCCAUAAAGAGAAACCAAAACUCGAGGCUCGAAUUUGAUAAUGGGUUAGCGGUCAGCCAAAAAGUAAUUGAUCUUCAUUAUGAGCUAGUUUUAAUGUUAGAAAUUUAUUUAUCCUCUAACCUUGGGCACAAUAAGAUUGAUAUUUUCAUAUUGUUCAUUCCUAUCAUGGGUGAGAGGACCAGAAGUAUACAUAUGAUAUUUAAACUUGUGAGAUAAAGAGUAAAGUUACUUAACCAUUAGAAAGGCUAUUCAUCUUUGUAAUAUAUAAAGAAUAAUAGAUGAAGUAUUUCU
rnacentral:lncRNA from 1 species